rnacentral:rRNA from 1 species
UACGUAGGGGGCGAGCGUUGUCCGGAAUCAUUGGGCGUAAAGCGCGUGUAGGCGGCUCGUUAAGUCCGGUGUGAAACCUUGGGGCUUAACCCCAAGCCUGCACUGGAUACUGACGAGCUCGAGUCCGGGAGGGGAGAGCGGAAUUCCUAGUGUAGCGGUGAAAUGCGCAGAUAUUAGGAAGAACACCGGUGGCGAAGGCGGCUCUCUAGAACGGUACUGACGCUGAGACGCGAAAGCGUGGGGAGCGAACAGG